UACACCCAGGCUGCUAUUACCUGAUUUUAUGUGACUUUGUCUAGGACCUGUUUAUGAAGUACAAACAUCCGUGAUGCAUGUUCUUGUGGCUUCAGUGCCAGGCAGCGCCCGGAACACAUAUCCUGGCCUUGCAUAUGUGGCCUGGAGGCCACAGACCCUGGCUGCAGCUGGGACCAUGCGCUUUCUCAAGGAGCUGCUGAGAGGACCAGGGGUCACUCCAUGAAUGGAAAGCCAGGAGCGACAGAAUCUGACCCUGCACAGCCUGGAGGACAGCAGCUCGCAGCCCAGGACUCUGCCUCUCUUCUGCCUCUCCUGCUGCUGCUGCUUACUCCACCUUGAGGUCCCUGGCUCGUGGCUGCACCACUCCAGCCCUGCUCUGCCUCCUGUGGCCUCUCUGUGUGUCCCUGUGUCCCUUCUUCCCUUAGAUGAACACCUAUGGCAUUCAAUUUAGGGGCCACCCCCCCCCCCCAGUGACGCCAUGUUAGUUUUGCCCGCUGUAUCCUCCAAGACCUCAUUUCCAAGCAAGGUCAUAUUCACAAGUGCUGGGGUUGUG
rnacentral:lncRNA from 1 species